CAAAGGUAGCGAAAUCAUUUGUCUACUAAUUAUAGACCAGUAUGAAGGGCCACAUGAGGGUUUAACUGUCUCCUAAGACCAAUUUAUAAAACUGAUCUUCUAGUUCAAAAGCUAGAAUUCUAAUAUAAGACGAGAAGACCCUGUGAAGCUUAAAAAAUCCCAUUAAAAUAGCUAGUGGGUACUUUUAGUUGGGGCAACUUUGGAAAAUAAAUCAACUUCCAAAAACUUACAAGUCAACAAUGAAUGACCCAGUAUAACUGAGAAGUGGACCAAGUUACUCCAGGGAUAACAGCGCAAUCUUCUUCAAGAGCCCAUAUCUAAAAGAAGGUUUACGACCUCGAUGUUGGAUCAGGACACCCAAACGGUGCAGUAACUGUUAAAGGUUCGUUUGUUCAACGAUUAAAGU
rnacentral:rRNA from 1 species